UUGUGUUUAUAUAGAUGUGAAUAGCAAGAAGGCUAGGGUCAUAAUAGAGAAAACAGUGGCCUUUUGGCCAAGUAAUACUGUAUUAGUCUUGAAGUAGGAGGUGAUCGUGGAGAUCAAAUGUGGAAUCGUAUCAGAUCAUAACGGAAUUUUAGUAUGUUGUUCAUGGAGUUGAGAUGCAUAUAUUCAACGGUUCAACGGUCGCGAUUGUCAUUUGAGUUGAUUAUCAUGGAACAGACUGGUACAUGUGCAAGCCCACUGAGUUCAGAGAAUGAUUGAUUGAUUGCCCUACGGGGAAUCAGGAAUAUUGUUGUUUACAUGGCCUACGGGCAUUCGAAGUUUAUUUUAACCUUUGUGGUACUUGGCAUGUUACCGAGAUGGGCCGGGUAUGAGGCUUAAGUUAAUUGUCGUGAUUAUGGUUGAUUCGGUUGAAGUUGUAAAAAUCGUUUAUUGAUUCCGCUAUGCCCUUUCAUUGUCCUCGUAUUGUAUACUUUCCGCGUAGUUUAUGUGACAGUUAUGGAGCAAAAUAAGGACAAGCAUAAUUGGAAUAUUUGAAGAAUUCUAUUCAUUUGGAGAUUAUUUGGGAAAA